UUUCAGGCACAGACAAACAGCGGUAGCAUUUCAUCCACAUUAUUUUUUUAGUUUACCACCAAGACAAUUCUACAGUACUUCAUGCUCCCAAACUCCCUAAUCCUUAUUUGCAGCUGCUUGACUUCACGGCGGGUAGUGCGUGGAAAAUGAAACGUUUUUCCCCAAACGAAGCAGAAUUUGUUCCUCUUUGACUAGCGCUAUUCAACCCAGAGCGGUAGCUAUAUGCCUUCAUUGGGUAACAUGUUUCAGAAGCCGGUUGUGCUUAUUUUCCCCGAAUGCCGAUUCUCCGAUAACCGUUGCCCCGAAUGGUACUUUUCCCCGAAUCACACCCUUCUUUAUGUUUUCGGCGGUCCUUUCAAGUCCUUUUCCUCAGGCUUGCUAAAACACUGCUGAAUGAAGAAUGGUAAUAUGACUUCUUCUUUUCAUUGCUGCUUGUUCUUUCUAGAAUCAAAUUGACCCUAAACAUUUGCCAAAUGAUGAUCGGUGUGGCAAGUGAUCAUUUAGAACAAGAAUGUGAUGUACAUGUUUUUCGGGUAAACUAGCUCGGGGAACUGACUUUCCCCGAAAAAGUAACACAAUCUCAGAAGCAAGUGAUAGCAUGAGUAAUCAAAUUUAGAAGUGAGAAACAAUGGUUCAACAGCGUGGUGGCUCUCUGAAUCAUUCUCUUCGCCGGUGUUUACGGCAAUGUAUUUACUUAAUUAAAUUGAUCAAAUCGAUUAUAAUAGUCACGUACAACAUUCCUAUACCAUCAAAAUAAUUGUUUUUGACCAUCAAACAAAUCCUUGCAAUGCAUUUUCACACGUGCCAGAACAAGUGAGCAUGAAUGAUUACCAGUCAUUUUGCGUCACAAGCCAACCAACCGAUGUGAUACAGCGGUCGCAGUUGGUUUGGAUUUUCCUUCGUAGUGGUUAUUGGUGCUGAUAACUGCUCGUAUUUUCUAUAUUCACUCAGAUUCAAGCACUGACGGAGGCAAACGUUAUUGUCGCAUGUCAUCCCCGGCAAUCACUACAUCGAUCCCAACAUCAAUCGGCCCGCCUCUGUCGGUAUUCAUGUACUUUUCCUUAGUUGAUUUUAUUAUCAAGGCUAUAUUCGUUGUCUCCCUCUUCAGAGAAGCAAAAAUUUCUUCCACUACCCUACGGUUGAUACAGAUAAGAUCAAAAUCGUCCGCGAAGCCGAGAGGCAUGAUUUGGUCGACAUAAGUCGGUUUUAAGUCCCAUUACCAAAUGCUUCAAAAAUGGCACGGAUAAUCAUGGUUAGCAAACACUGUAAAGCGUUAAGCUGCUAGUACACAGGGUCAAAUAUUUGUCCGAAAAGAAACCAAUGCUCAAACAUCUUGUUUGACUCGAUCAAAUUUUCAUUAGUGUCAAACUGAUGUUGUUUCUUGAGUUAUUUCCUUGUCAAAUAUUUGACCCUGUGUACUACUGGCCUUACAUCGACAUCUCUCCAAGCUUACUUCGGAUCAAUUCAAUUAACUCUAGCAGCAUUUCCAAGAGAUUUCUCAAAGCAUGCUGGAUAGGUGCACUAGACGUCCAUCUCUCCGAUCAGGCUAAGGCCGGGGUGGCCUCUGCUGUACAUAUUAGCCGUCUGGUCUUCAUUCCACUCGGUCCAUGGCUGUUUGGCUCCAGUUCCGCACUCUGCGUAGGGUCCACAAACCGUCCUCCACUUGGUCGACCCACCUAGCUCACUGCGCACCACGUCUUUUUGUACCGGUCGGAUGACUCUCGAGAAUCAUUUUAUUCGGGUUGCUAUCUGACAUCCUGAUGACGUGACCCGUCCACCGUAGCCCCCCGAUUUUCGCGGUAUGGCCGAUGGUUGGUUCUCUCAGCAGCUGAUGCAGCUCGUGGUUCAUUCGCCUUCUCCAAGUCCCGUCUGCACUCCGCCGUCGAUGGUACGCAACACCUUCCGUUCGAAUACUCCAAGGGCGCGUUGGUCCUUUGCACGUAUGCCAAAUCUACAAUAAUUUCUAGAAUGACCAAAAGGCACAAUCACACAAAAUAAAUAUGUUAAAUACGAAUGAUACAACAAUAAUUUUAAUAAGUGUAAGAAGGGCUGUUCACCAUAGGUGGAUUAAAUCGGGUUUUUAUGUCUCUUUAUGAUAGUAUGUACACUACACUACACUCAGCGAAAAAAACUUACGAAUUUCAUCAAAAUACCUUAUGUUUUUUUUUGCGAUAAAUAAAAAUUAUGGAUGUCAUAAGAGUACCUUAUGAAAAUUUAUCGUGCUUGUUAUGACAAAUUUCAUAAGAUAAACUUAUAAAAAUAGCAAAAACAUCUUAAAAUGAUGUAAACUGGAUUCGAGCGGCUCACAACAGCGUCUGAUCCCCAUGUUAGGGGCGGCUGAUCUACGUCCGAGUGCCAGGGAAGGACUCUAAGCUCAACUGUGCACUAUGGUCCUCCGUAAAGUAGGGGGUUGGUGUCAGGUCCUACAGGCCAGCCGUUAAAAAAAACCAUUGUAACGGAUAAUCAGCAACAGAAUAAUACGAACCGAGACCAACGGCAACGACCCCAGCGAACAAAAAGGACUUGCGAUUGGAAACUCGGUACCGUAAACCGGGGUCAAAUUGAUCAUUCGGGUACUACAUUGAAAUUCUAUACUAGAAGUUAUAGGACCAAGCUCUCUUAAGCGUCGUAAUGAUCUUAAACUCUUUAUGUUAUCUGGUUCUUAGAUGUCUAGAGAUGAGUGUAGACUUUAAUUUUUUUAGAAAAAAGUAAGUUUUGUCUUAUUUUUUAAGGAAUUUGCAAUGCAUUUCUCAUUUAGCUGAAAUCAUUGCUACUAAAUAAUUGAUUGCUAAUAGGACUUCCCGUAAACUCUCUGUUUUAACAUUUUUUUGGAGCCUUGGUUGGGAAGUUAUGUAGCUAAUCAGAACAUGACAUAGUUAAAAUAAGUUCAUUUUAUGAAUAAAUAGUCAUUUAUUGUGAUAGAAAUCACUUAUUUCAAAGCAAAUCGCCUACCUUUAGGCGUUAAGGGGAAAUUUCAAAAUUUAAUUUUGCAUUUAAAGUAUUGAAUUCACUAGUUGUAAGAUUUUAAACGCGUUAUUCGGUUUUAGAAGAGCAGAAUUAAGCGGAGAAGGAAAUUUUCCUUUCUAACCGAUGCUUAAUUGUAUAUUGAUCAAUUUCGCCCCAAAGUAGCAUUUCCAAUUUUUUGAUUUUUGGAGUAAUUGAACUUAAAGUUUAAAUUUGUUGCACAAAAUUCUGUCACAUGGUUCCAUGAAGAUCCACUGGGUACUGAUUUUACAGAAAUUAUUUUGCCAAUAUUUGAAUUGCCACUGAUGUUAUCCGCAAAAGUUGUUUUAAAGUGAUCAAUUUGACUCCGGAUUACGGUACGUGGAACUGCCGAUCUCUCAACUUCAUUGGGAGCACUCGCAUACUCGCCGAUCUACUGAAUGACCGCGGGUUUGGCAACGUAGCGCUGCAGGAGGUGUGUUGGACAGGAUCCAUGGUGCAAACGUUUAGAGGUAAUCAUACCAUCUACCAGAGCUGCGGCAACACACGCGAGCUGGGAACAGCUGUCUUCUUGAUGGGUGAUAUGCAGAGGCGCAUGAUCGAUUGGUGGCCGAUCGACGAAAGAAUGUGCAGGUUGAGGAUUCUUCAACUUCAGCAUAAUAAACGUGCACAGUCCACACUCCGGAAGUACUGAUGAUGACAAGGACGCAUUUUACGCGCAGCUCCAACGCGAGUACGAUCGCUGCCCAAGCCACGACGUCAAGAUCAUCAUAGGAGAUUUGAACGCUCAUGUAGGCCAGGAGGAGGAAUUCAGAUCGACGAUUGGUAAGUUCAGCACACACCAGCUGAUGAAAGAAAACGGCCUACGACUCAUUGAUUUCGCAGCCUCCAAAAAUAUGGCCAUACGUAGCACCUUUUUCCAACACAGCCUCCCUUAUCGUUACACCUGGAGAUCACCACAGCAGACGGAAUCGACCACGUUCUGAUUGACGGACGGCACUUCUCCGACAUUAUCGACGUCAGGACCUAUCGUGGCGCCAACAUCGACUCCGACCACUAUCUGGUGAUGGUCAAAUUGCGCCCAAAACUCUCCGUCAUCAAUAAUGUACGGUACCGGCGACCGCCACGGUACAACCUAGAGCGACUGAAACAACUGGAUGUCGCCUCAGCAUACGCGCAGAAUCUCGAGGCCGCGUUGCCAGACGAGGGCGAGCUCGAUGAGGCCCCUCUAGAGGACUGCUGGAGUACAGUGAAAGCAGCCAUCAACGACGCAGCCGAGAGCACCAUCGGGUUCGUUGAACGGAAUCGACGGAACGAAUGGUUCGACGAAUAGUGCAGAACGGUUUUAACGGAGAAGAACGCAGCGAGGGCGGUAAUGCCGCAGCAAGUGAUUCGACAGAACGUGUAACGUUACAAAGAGAAGCGAAAACAGCAGACUCGUGUGCUAUACGCAACUGAUUAUUUUUCACACGUAAUUAAAAUUCCAUAGAAACACUCUAGAUUCAACAUGACACACUUGACUUAGGUGACGAACGAUGAUUUCCAAACCAUCUUACAUGGUAACAUUUCAAAACCCUUCAAGUACAAACAUCCUUACCAGAAGAGUGCAUAAUUUAUUUCCCAUCAUCCUAUUCCAAUCCAUUUCCCAUAGCCUACCAAUGAAUAUGCAACCCGUAUCUUUCAACACCAUAGCUAAGCCAUACCAGCUGAACCACAUCCAGUUGACUUACACAGCAAUUCUACUCUCCGUUCUAGUUCUCACUAGCGAGCAACGGCAUACCCAGUGGCCCACUAAAGAAAUAAUAAACAUUCAUAGACUCUCACGUUCUGAUUGAAUUUAACUACAACAUAUGGUAAUUCACCACAUUCUCUUUCACAUGUUCUUUCAUAUGUUUCACUCUCGCACUCUAAACUUACUCUCACGAACUAAACAGAACAGAACGACGCGACGGUUAAUCCAAGCUGACACCGACGAACCAAUCAGAAGACCGUAUGACAGAUGGUUGUUAAAGUAACGCCUCCGACGCCAAGUUAGAUAGUUUUCCCAUAUCUGUAUUCGAUUAAACUCAACUAUCUAUGUAUUGACUAAAUUGAAAAGUGUAAUUAUAUAAAAACUAAAGACGAGAAAAAUAAAGAGGAGUCUUAUUCCUGAAACCAAAGAAUGAGUUUGUUCGGGGGAAAAAGCGCCGCCUGGAAGAAGCAGAGUGUGAAGAAAUGGAACUGCUGUGCUGUUCCUAAGAAACACGGAAGUUCUAUCAGAAGCUUAACGCGUCCCGCAACGGCUUCGUGCCGCGAGCCGAAAUAUGCAGGGAUAAAGACGGAGGCCUCUUGACGGACGGACGUGAGGUGAUCGAAAGGUGGAAGCAGCACUUCGAUCAGCACCUGAACGGCGUGGAGAACGUAGGCACGGGAGCCCACGGCGACGGAGGAAACGACGACGCCAGUGCAGCGGAGGACGGAAAUGAACUAACUCAUACACUGAGGGAAGUUAAGAAUGCCAUUCAUCAGCUCAAAACAAACAAAGCAGCUGGUAAGGAUGGUAUCGCAGCUGAACUCAUCAAGAUGGGCCCAGAAAAGUUGGCCACCUGUCUGCAUCGGCUGAUAGUCAGGAUCUGGGAAACCGAAAAGCUACCGGAGGAGUGGAAGUAAGGGGUAUUCUGCCCCAUUCAGAGCGAUCACUAUUUUGAAUGCUGCCUACAAAGUGCUAUCCCAGAUCAUCUUCCUAAAACGAAUGAGUUCGUGGGAAGUUAUCAAGCCGGCUUCAUCGACGGCCGGUCGACAACGGGCCAGAUCUUUACCGUACGGCAAACCCUCCAGAAAUUCCGUGAAUACCAGGUCCCAACGCAUCACCUGUUCAUCGACUUCAAAGCGGCAUACGGCAGUAUCGACCGUGCAGAGCUAUGGAGAAUCAUGGACGAAAACGGCUUUCCUCGGAAGCUGACUAGACUGAUCAAAGCAACGAUGGACGUUGUGUAAAACUGCGUAAGGGUUUCGGGUGAACUAUUCAAUUCAUUCGAAUCUCGCCGGGGGCUGCGACAAGGUGAUGGACUCUCAUGCCUACUCUUUAACAUCGUUCUGGAAGGUGUGAUGCGACGAGCCGGGCUCAACAGCCGUGGAACGAUUUUCACAAAAUCCGGUCCGAUGCAUUGCGGACGACAUGGAAAUUAUUGCCAGAACAUUUGGAACGGUGGCAGAACUGUACACCCGCCUGAAACGCGAAGCAGCAAAGGUCGGACUGGUGGUGAAUGCCUCAAAAACAAAGUACAUGCUGGUAGGCGGAACCGAAAACGACCGGAUCCGUCUGGGUAGUAAUGUUACGAUAGACUGGGAUACUUUCGAGGUGCUGGAGGAAUUCGUCUAUCUUGGAUCCUCACUGGCGGCUGACAACAACGCGAAAUUCGGAGGGGCAUCAUCAGCGGAUGUCGGGCCUACUACGGGCUCCAGAAGAAACUGCGGUCGAAAAAGAUUCACCCACGCACCAAAUGCAUCAUGUACAAAACGCUAAUGAGACCGGCGGUCCUCUACGCACAAGACAUGGACCAUGCUCGAGGAGGACCUGCAAGCACUCGGUGUUUCCGAGCGACGCGUGCUAAGGACAAUCUUCGGCGGUGUGCAGGAGAACGGUGUGUGGCGGAGAAGGAUGAACCACGAGCUCGCUGCACCUAACGGCGAACCCAGCAUCCGGAAGGUGGCCAAAGCCGGAAGGAUACGGUGGGCAGGGCAUGCUGCAAGAAUGCCGGACAGCAACCCUGCAAAGCUGGUAUUUGCAACUGAUCCGGUUGGCACAAGAAGGCGUGGAGCGCAGAGAGCACGAUGGGCGGACCAGGUGGAGCGUGACCUGGCGAGCAUUGGGUGCGACCGAGGAUGGAGAGCGGCAGCCACAAACCGAGUAUUGUGGCGUACUAUUGUUGAUUAUGUCUUGUCCAACCCCCCGGUCUUGUCUUAAAUGUGAUGUUCAACAAAUAAAUGUAUGUAUGGCUACCGACGCUUGAGAAUAUCAUUUAAAGACACGGACACGGACAGUUUGCUAUUCGCUCUUUGAAGAAAGCACAACAAUAGACAACGGACUAGCAUGUAACACCCAGUGCCACAGCCGAAAACUUUUCCCGACAGCUGCGGUGGACAUCGAACCCACACGCCCCUCAGCACGAUGCGACUAAAUGCUAGCCGCACGGCCACGAAGCCACCAGUGUAUGAUUCAUGUUCAUGAGCUUCAACAUUUCAAUAUUGCCAAAAAUUCACAUGACAGUUAUGCUUCCACCAGAAGCAGUAGGAGAAAUCUCUAAAUAAAUUCCAAAAAGAAUGCCUGAAAGAAUUCUUGGAGAAAUCCCAGAGCAAUUUCUUAAAGGAAUUCUGGGGGGAAUAUCAUCUUUAUAGCUUCACAGAGCAAAAACCCAAGAUAAUAAUCAGAACAGUUAUUUUCCAAUGGCGCAUGGCGAGCAAUAGCGCAAUCAUGUGCCGCGCACCAUUGCCAAUUGCAUAACAACUCUGCAUAUCUUCCCAAUCCGUACUUCUUUGCAUUUCAGCAUUAAUGCCCUCGUAGAUAUGUUUUUCUUCUGUUCUUGCCAACUUAUUUGAGCCGGGCACUAGCUACCACCAGCAAUCGACUUCUAGAGGUAUUCUGGGAAAUCAUAAAUCCAUGUGGGUCGCGAUUGAUGAUACUACGAUGACCGAACCUGCAGUUAACAUCGUUAUAGACGUGGAUAGCGAUUUGGAUUCCGGUCCUGACCCAGCUCCGGAUGACGUAGAUGGAUGGAUAAUUAAAUGCAAUAAGAGAACAAAGCGAACUGACAAAUUCAUAAGAAAGUAUUGUAAUUAGUUUUUUAUUGCCUGACACGAAUGCACUGUCAUAGUGUAAAGUGUCAUAAAUAAACUAUAAUAAUAAUAAUAAUGUGGGUACCGUGUGCGCGCCUAACUUUGCGCAGGUCCAAACUUUGCGCAUUCUUGUAAAAUAACGAAACAAAUAACUAAAUGUCAACAUAUUUACCAGUUUAAUCAUUGCACUAGCAUUGUGUAAACAUAAACAUUAUUUGACAAAUAUUUAAUUGCCAUAAAAUCAUUGUUUAUGUUGAAUAAUAAACAAAAAAUACAAAAAAAUGUCAAAAUUUGCCUCGCCUUAACACGGUUGCCAAGAAGUAACUCUACCUAAAAUCAACAUUUUCCUCGAUAAAACUGUGCAACGAUGAUUAAUUUUGCAGUUAAUUGACAAAAAAGGUGAUAUUCUAGUAAUAUCAAUCACAGUUCGUAAUAAAUUUUUCAAUUUAAUUAGUAAAUAGUGGUGCGCAAUGUUUGGAACCAUUAUUUGCCCUGUGUUCCUUAUUUUUGCGCACUUUCAGUAAAUGCAUGUUGAACGUUAAUACAUGACAUAUGAACCAUUCAAAUAUUAUGUAACACCAGUUGUUCUGGCAGCACGGACAAUGACACCCAUCAGCAUCGAUUGCAGAAUACGUGCGAAGCAAAUUGUCAUUCCUUCAGACAAUAGCCAGGGAAACAGAUGCAUGGCGAAUGAAUUGUGCAAAGGCCGUUCCCGUGAGAUUGUUAAUAAGGAAAUAAGGAUAUUUUGUGAAAUUUAUUGAACUAUUGUGUUUGCUAAAAGAUAUCGGGUUAAUGUGCGCUAGGAACGGUACUAAAUGGUGAUUUGUGAAAUAGACUGCUAUUCAAUUAGUACCCCCUAUGUGAGUGGCAUGCUGACUCUCCACUUUAGAGAUUAAGAGAGGAGUAGGUUAUGCUAAUUGUAUGAUUAAUGUUGUAGAUCCAAUAGCCCGACGCCACUUCUGCACAUACGUUUGCAUUAUUCUCUGCCUUUAUAGUAGGAUCAGGUAAAGAUUAUUACCUAAUGAUUAAUCAAAUAGAAUUAUAAUCACUACUUGGUUGUUUAGGUGGCAACGACUAAAUUUCUCUGUGUAGGCUAGAGUCCUGAGCCGGUAAGGAAAGACUAAAUGUACGCACUAUUUGAAUUCCCUUAAAACGUAAAAAUAAAAGUUGCAUUUCUUUUAGCUUUGAGCUGCGCAAAUUAAAGCCUGCUGCGAGAUUUUUUCCUCUACCAACAAACUCAAAGAUUUACUUCAUGAUGCCUGAGAACGAAGUCUACGAUUGCGGCGCUUGCGAGCGACCGAAUUCCGCCGAUGUGGGUAUGGUGGCGUGCGAUAGUUGUGCCGUUUGGUACCACUACGUUUGUGCCGGAGUUUCGCCAGGAAUCCGCGACCGAACGUGGAGAUGUGGUAAGUGUCAGCCCGUGCUACCUCCGGAAAUCACCGGGACGAAGAAGAAGACGAGUAAAAAGCUUCCGGCGAGCUUGAGUGUCCUCGGUGCGACGAGUGAGAUUACGAAGACAAGCAACGCCGAACUGAAGAAAACGUCCGACAAGUCCAAAAGCUCUGCGAAAUCCAAGGCUAUGGCUGUUUCCAACGCCGCCGCGGGCGGUGAACCCUCCGCCGGAAAUGUGACUCCGAUAAAGAAUCCGGAAGUUGUAAUUUCUACCAAACCGUCCGAUAGGGAGAUGCGAUCUUCCAAGUCCAGUACUUCAACCACCAGGGCUCGAGCGCAAUUAGCAUUGCAGCGAUUAGAGGAUGAGCGACUGUUGGAGGAACGGAAAUUGAAGCAGGAACGGGCGCGGCUGGAGGAAGAAAGCAUCCGGCUGGAGAAGGAGAAACUACUAAAGGAACGGGAGCACGCUAUUCAGGCUAAGGAAUUGGCGAUACAAGAGAAGUACUUGCGGGAGAAGUUCGAGUUGGAAGAUCAGAUUGCUGACGAGGAAAGCAGCCAAAAUUCUAGCGUUUCGGGUCGCAAGAGUAGGACCAAGGCCUGGUUGAAAAGUCAACACGAACUAAGCCAGCACAGCAGACAUAACGAUUUGGCAAGUUCAAUUCGACCACCACAAGUCGACGCGGGAAGCGAACGCGGAGAAGCCCACAGACCAAACGUUUUGGACGGGGUUUCCAACUUUCGGACGGAGCGCGAUGGUUCCGACAACCGACGUCGUUACUACGGAGUUGAACCGAAUGCUUCCAGGUUGCCGCAUGAGGACGAAGGAUCCGUGAUGAGCUCACACGGGGUGGGGCCAAACGCCGCCCAGAUAGCUGCGAGACAGAUUUGGCCGAAGAAGCUUCCCACAUUUUCGGGUGAUCCGGAAGAAUGGCCGAUAUUCGUCCACAGCUUCGAGUCGGCCAAUGCCGCGUGCGGUUUUUCGGACGUAGAGAACGUCAUUCGUCUACGCGAGUGUUUGCGAGGUCCAGCACGAGAUGCCGUCGUCACGAAGCUCAUGUUUCCCGAAAGCGUCAGAGCGAUUAUGGACACCCUGCGGCGAUUGUACGGCAGACCGGAGAUUUUGGUGAAAAACCUACUUGACAAGGUUCGUCGGGUGGAGGCACCAAAGCCUGAGAGACUGGAUUCGUUGAUCAACUUUGGGCUGACGGUGCAGCAGCUAUGCGACCACUUGGCAGCCGCAAAACUGAAGGGUCAUCUGUCGAAUCCCACCUUGCUUGGGGAAUUAGUGGAAAAGUUGCCAGCCUCAAUUAAGAUGGAGUGGGCCAGGUUCAAAAGGGCGUAUAGUGAACCAACGCUUCAGCACUUCGGCAUGUUUAUGGAGGAGAUAGUUGACGACGCCAGUGAAGUUACGAUCGCCACUCAACAGAAAUCAACCGGUGGGAGAGUCGACAAGGACAAACCGAAGGAAAGGGGACAUGUAUAUUCCCAUGAAGACACGUCGGGAAUGCAGAACCACGUACCAGAGAGACAACCUUGCCCGAUCUGCGGAAAAACAGAUCAUCGUGUAAGAAACUGUGAACGAUUCCAGCAGCUAGGACUCGAAGCUCGUCUAAAGGCCGUCGAACGAUGCAAGUUGUGCGAAGUUUGCUUGUUCGAUCACGGGCAAUGGAAGUGUCGUUCGAGAAUCCGAUGUAACGUUGCCCAAUGCCGGGCUCGUCAUAACCCACUACUGCAUCGCCCAACGCAAGAAUCACGUCAGCGUCAGCUCCGAGCUUCGGAGUGUAAUACGCACGAGCGAACGCAAAGAUCGGUCCUUUUCAGGAUCAUUCCUGUUACACUUUUCAACGGAAAUACGAAAUGUGAAACAUUCGCGUUUUUGGAUGAGGGAUCCUCGCUGACCCUUAUCGAAACUGGCUUGGCGCGUCAGCUUGGUGUCACAGGUGUUCCAGAGCCCUUGGAAUUGCGUUGGACUGCAAGCGUGAUGCGUAACGAGAAGGAUUCAAAGCGUGUGGACCUGGAGAUAGCCGGAAAAGGUCUGCCGAGACGCUUCGUCUUGAAAAAUGCUCACACUGUCGAAGAAUUGAACCUACCCAACCAGAGCCUGAUGUUUGGCGUACUGUCGGAAAGGUUCGCACAUCUCCGGAAUCUCCCCAUAUCGUCGUACUCUGAAGCCACUCCGAGGAUCCUUCUAGGACUAGAGAACCUCAGUCUUUUUGCGCCGCUGGAUAGCUGCGUGGGCCGACCGGGAGAACCAAUCGCCGUGAAGUCUCUGCUAGGUUGGUCUAUCUAUGGACCUGAUGGAAAUGGACAUUCAAAAAAAGGCUUUCUAAACGUACACCAAUGCAAUUGUGACUCCGACCGAGAACUAAACGACCUUGUCCGGCAGCAGUUUGUACUGGAGGAGUCGCUAACCAGGCAAACACCAAUGCUUCAGUCCGCUGAAGAAAAGAGAGCCUGUGAGAUACUGGACAGCACUACAAAGUUUGUGGAUGGGCGGUAUGAAACUGCUUUGCUCUGGAAAACCGAUGAUGUUGAGGUGCCGGAUAGCCUUCCAAUGGCGAUGAAGCGACUGAAAAGUUUCGAGGCUCAAUUAGCCAAAAAUUCGAGUCUACGGGACAGCGUGAACCAGCAAAUCAUCGAUUAUAUACAGAAGGGCUAUAUUCACAAGGCCACGGAAGAAGAACUGGUCGAGAUCAGCAGCAGACAAGUGUGGUACUUACCGCUGGGCUUGGUGACGCAUCCAAAGAAGCAGAAAAAGCGACUGGUUUGGGACGGUAGGGCGCAGGUGAACGGAGUCUCACUAAACUCGCUGUUGCUAAAGGGCCCUGACCUUCUGGUGUCGCUCCCGUCUGUAAUUUGCAAGUUCCGCGAGAAACGCAUCGGAUUUGGAGGCGAUAUCCGGGAAAUGUUUUUACAACUACGAAUGCGACAAUCGGACAAGUAUUUUCAGUGCUUCUUGUUCCAGUUCGAUCCUCGUUAUCCACCUGAAGUGUACAUAGCGGACGUUGCGAUGUUCGGAGCAACUUGUUCGCCCUGCGUUGCGCAGUAUGUGCUACGUGUCAAUGCGGAUAAAUGGGCGAACGAAUUUCCUUUGGCGGCGGAGGCGAUCAAAAAUAAAACCUACAUGGACGAUUACUACGACAGCGCCGAUACUCCUGAAGAAGCGGCAGAAUUAGCCGUGCAAGUACGUACCGUCCAUGCCCGCGGAGGAUUCGAGAUGAGGAACUGGGUUAGCAACAGUGACGAAGUGUUGGAAAAGCUCGGCGAAACUCCGGACAAGGAACCACGUUUGCUGCAAUCUGUCCCGGAAGAAAGGUGGGAACGUGUUCUAGGGAUGUUGUGGCACCCGGAUUCCGAUACUUUGACCUUUUCAACCGAACUGGCGUCAGAGUUACUUCCCUUUGUCUCCGAUAAUAGAAGGCCGACGAAACGCAUUGCUCUUAGGAUCAUUAUGAGCCUUUUUGAUCCCCUUGGCUUGUUAGCACCGUACCUUGUCCACGGACGUACUUUGAUCCAAGAUCUGUGGAGAAGUGGAGUACAAUGGGAUGAGGUAAUGAAGGACGAGGAGUUUGCCAAAUGGACGCGCUGGGUGGAACUGCUACCCGCUAUAAGUGAGCUUAGCGUUCCGCGUUGCUACUUCGCCCUGAUGGAUCCACUGUUUUAUCGAACGCUACAGUGUCACGUUUUCACUGACGCCAGCGAAGCCGGCUAUGGAUGUGCUGUGUACUUCCGCAUUAAGGACGAUUCCGAACAAGUGCAAUGUACAUUGGUUAUGGCGAAAAGCAAAGUGGCCCCCCUUAAGCACCUGUCGAUACCACGGUUAGAAUUGGAAGCGGCAGUGUUGGGGUCGAGAAUGGUAAACACUGUUCUGUCGAACCAUUCUGUACAACCUCGGGACGUGUAUUUGUGGACCGAUUCAUCGACGGUACUCUCGUGGAUUCGCUCGGACCAUAGACGAUACAAACAGUUUGUCGCUCAUCGUAUCGGAGAGAUAUUGUCGUUAACACAAGCUGAGUGCUGGCGAUGGGUAUCAUCCAAGGACAACGUGGCCGACUGCCUGACGAAAUGGGUACGCGACACAGAACCGGAUUCGAAUGGUAGAUGGUUUAAAGGACCAGCGUUUCUCUACCUUCCUGAAGAUGAGUGGCCGCAACAACGAGUGAAGACGAACACUGCCGAAGAGUUGCGAACGAGUUUCGUGUUGGCUCACAUCUCGCUGCCCGCCACGAUUAUAGAUGUUUCAAGGAUCUCGAAGUGGAGCGUAUUACUGCGAACUGUAGCCUGCCUAUAUCGCUUCAUCAGCAACUGUCGAUUGCGCGUUCUUGGGCGGCCAAUAGAAACUAUACCAGCAACUAUAAACCAAAUUAAAUGUCUCAAACGGUCGGUUCCCUCGUGUGGUGUGCCACUGAAGCAAGAAGAGUUCCAGCGAGCAGAGUGCUUUCUAUGGAGAACGGCACAAAGCGAAUGCUAUCCGGAUGAAAUGCGAACCCUGUUGAAGAACCGCGAUCAGCCUGUCGCGGAGUGGAAGUCCAUCGAGAAGAGCAGCCCGCUGUAUAAGCUGUCACCGUUCGCCGACGAAUACGGAAUUGUUCGAAUGGAGGGAAGGACAGCUGCCGCUGCCCACGCGAAUUUCGACGCGAGGUUCCCUAUAAUACUCCCCAGGGACAAUCAGAUUACCCAGCUACUGUUGGAAUUCUACCAUCAUCAAUGCGGCCACGCGAACACAGAAACGGUCGUUAACGAAGUUCGUCAACGUUUCGAGAUAUCGCGUCUACGCUCGGCUGUCGGAAACGUUAGCCGGAAUUGUAUCGCUUGCAAGGUACGCAAGUGUAAACCGUUUCCUCCUCGAAUGGCACCUUUACCCGAACACCGAUUGACUCCGAACGUCCGACCCUUUAGUUACGUUGGCAUUGAUUACAUGGGCCCAUUGGAAGUGACCGUUGGUCGGCGCAGAGAAAAGCGAUACGUAGCGGUUUUCACUUGCCUCGUGGUUCGUGCCGUUCAUUUGGAGGUUGCAUACGAUUUGUCUACUGAAUCGUGUAUUAUGGCUAUCCGGAGAUUCACUCGACGACGCGGAUCUCCUGUUCAAAUCUUCUCGGACAAUGGCACUAACUUUGUGGGUGCCAGCCGAGAACUACAAAAGCAAAUAGCUCUUGGUUGCGCCGGUACUUUCACCGAUGCGCGAACCAAAUGGUCCUUCAAUCCCCCCUCCGCUCCACACAUGGGCGGAGUGUGGGAACGAAUGGUGCGGAGCGUAAAAGAAGGCAUGACUACGUUGGACGAUGGGCGCAAAUUGACCGAUGAAAUAUUGUGGACAACGCUUGUCGAAGUAGAGGGGUUGAUUAACUCCCGACCGCUCACCUACAUGCCGCAGGAGAUGAAUAAUUCCGAAGCCUUGACUCCAAAUCAUUUUAUACUCGGAUGUUCGUCUGGUGCGCACGAGCCUAUGGAACCGCCGGACGACCUCGGAUGUGUCCUGCGGAGUAGCUUCCUAAGAUCUCAGCAGUUAGCGAACGACGUCUGGGAGCGAUGGUCGAAAGAAUAUCUCCCAACCAUCAACAGGAGAACUAAGUGGCUGGAUGAAGUCAGGUCUCUGAAGGUCGGCGACCUUGUCUAUUUGGCAGAAGGCAAAAGAAGAUCGUGGACGAGAGGUAUUGUAGAGGAAGUAAUUUUCGGCAAGGACGGGAGAGUUCGGCAAGCGAUUGUGCGGACACCCACCGGUAAGUUGAAGCGUCCAGUUGUAAAGUUGGCGAUGUUGGAACUUGGUGGAUCUACGGUGGACCCUUCCCUCGAUCCACGGGGCGGGGGGUGUUCUGGCAGCACGGACAAUGACACCCAUCAGCAUCGAUUGCAGAAUACGUGCGAAGCAAAUUGUCAUUCCUUCAGACAAUAGCCAGGGAAACAGAUGCAUGGCGAAUGAAUUGUGCAAAGGCCGUUCCCGUGAGAUUGUUAAUAAGGAAAUAAGGAUAUUUUGUGAAAUUUAUUGAACUAUUGUGUUUGCUAAAAGAUAUCGGGUUAAUGUGCGCUAGGAACGGUACUAAAUGGUGAUUUGUGAAAUAGACUGCUAUUCAAUUAGUACCCCCUAUAUCCAAUAGCCCGACGCCACUUCUGCACAUACGUUUGCAUUAUUCUCUGCCUUUAUAGUAGGAUCAGGUAAAGAUUAUUACCUAAUGAUUAAUCAAAUAGAAUUAUAAUCACUACUUGGUUGUUUAGGUGGCAACGACUAAAUUUCUCUGUGUAGGCUAGAGUCCUGAGCCGGUAAGGAAAGACUAAAUGUACGCACUAUUUGAAUUCCCUUAAAACGUAAAAAUAAAAGUUGCAUUUCUUUUAGCUUUGAGCUGCGCAAAUUAAAGCCUGCUGCGAGAUUUUUUCCUCUACCAACACCAGUACUGAUAAUUUCAGGCCUGCUUCUCCACCAUGUAGCAGAUUUUGUAUAGAAAUUAGUAGAAAAAUGUAUGAACUGUAGCACUACGGCACUCUCCAUCUGUCUACAAUGAGACGUGAUUUGUGAACAGUCCUUCAUUUGAAUUUUCCGGCGGUCAAUGUUAGAGACGAUUCAAAUAUGACGUCCACCAUUUUUUUUAGAUUUUUAGAACCCCCUCUUCUCCUGGGCCACCCCGUCACGCUUCAUAGUAUACCUGAUACAUGGCAUAUCACACUUUUUCAGACAAGUCCAGCCCCCUCCCCCAAAGAUGGACGUCAUAUUUAAAUAACCCCUUAUUGUUCCUAUCCGUAACAGUCACUUCAUUUAUCAGGAAGCUUUUACCUUUGAUCUUUAGCCACAGGAAACAACCCCUCAUGAAGUUUGGAUUGUUCACACGGUAGGUGCUUAGGACGAACCGCAGACGAAAUUAAGAACUCCAGAGGUAUCCGUUCCCCCUCCCUCGUAGGACAAAGUUUUUCAACAAAGAUCAAUUAAGGGCACACUACCUGAUCUGAAUUACUUUAGUUUCAUGGGCAAAUAUUAAAUAAUAGCAUUUUUGAUUACUUUUUUGAACAAUUCAUAGCAUGCGCAAAGUUAGGCACACUAUGCGCAAAGUUAGGAACAAUCGAAGAUUUUGUGCGCAAAGUUAGGAACAAGGCAAUGAAAUAGUUUUUCUAUUUUAAGUAUUUUUUGGUUAAUAUUAUGGUUUUUUUAAUAUUUCAGACUCAAAGAAGGAUCAUUAGUCUAUCGUAUGAGCAUGUUGUUCAUGAUAUAUUUUGUUUGUUUGUAUUUUUUAUAACGACUAGAAAUUUGAUUUUUCUUAACUGCGCAAAGUUUGGUACAUACACGGUACGACGAUUUUCAGAACUUUCCUAGAGAUUCUUGGGUUUCAAAAUGUUGCUUGAGAAUAAAUAACAUGAUUUCCAAUAUAAACCACAUUCUAAAUCUUCAUU